ensembl:lincRNA
AUGAGAACUUUUGCAAAUCAGCUGGCUAACCAGAUGUCCAACGGUGGAACAGACGACCAGUGUCCUUUCUUGCAGACACCCCAGUUUGAGCCCUAUGUCUGUCUCGGCCUUAGGGAAAAGACAAAGGGGCAUCCCUGCAUGAACACUGUACUACCCACCGGCCAACAACCUCUAAUAUUUUUUGGGAAAGGUGUGGACCAGUUUCAUUUUUUCUCGAGAAAUCCUGUGAUGACUAUAGAGGAUCUGGGCUGGGAUCCGAAACUGUGGUCAGGCACUAAAGAGGAUGGACCAAAAAAUGCCAGACUAGUUAGAAAUAACAAGUCUUUUGGCUUGUUUUGUUGUUUUGCUUGGGAUUCAUUUAGUUUUCAGGUAAACUUUAAAAAGUAUUUGGAUUUGGUUUGCUGGAGGUUCAACAAAUACAUGUAGUUUAUUUUCAUUUGUUUGUUUGUUGAGGUUUGUUUUGCUUGCUUUAAGUUCAGAUACCUGCUUUGAAGAUAGGAUGAAAUUUAAAGUCAUACACGGGCCAAGCCCAGUGGUUCAUGCCUGUAAUUCUAGAGCUUUGGGAGGCUCAGGCAAAAGAAUCGCUUGAGUCUAGGAGUUCCAGACCAGCCUGGGCAACACAGCAAGACCGCAUCUCCACAAAAAUAAAAAAUAAUUUCCAGGCAUGGUGGCAAGCACCUGUAGUCCGAGGUACUCAGGAGGCUGAGGCAGGAGGAUUGCUUAAGCCCAGGAGUUUGAGGUUACAGUGAGCUAUGAUCUGCCACUGCCCUUCUGCCUGGGCAACAGUGUGAGACCUUGUCUCAACAAAAUAAAUAAUAGAUAAAUAAAUAAAAUCAUACACAGACAUACACAUAGCUAUAUAGCCAAGAAAUAGAAUUCUAACCAUUCAUAACAAUAAUCAACUUAUAUCACUCAUAUCUUUCCAAGAUGAUGAUAAAGAAUAAAAAUGACCUGGAAUACUUUCACAUUGGCUGUCUCAUUUUAUCCUCUUCGUAUUCCUGUAUAUCAAUAUUCUAAAAAUGGGGAGUUUAUUGUAAAAACUAGUUAACUAUUCAAUAUUAUGGCUUGUCCAAAUAUGUACAGUCUCAGCCUUCUUGAGUGAAAAGAUGCCUUUGAAUACUUGAGUUUUACAGAGGUUGGGGAAUUAAAAGACUUAAAAAAACAAGAUAAAGGGAGCAAUAAUUAUGGUCUGAUGGCUGUGAAGAUGGGACACCAUUCUAGAGCAUCAUUAUAGGAGGCAGGUAUUAUACUAUUUCCUGGGAAGAAGCCAUUCCCUCAACUAAGCCCUCACAAGUAAACUUCUUCUUCUUCUUCUUGUUUUUUGUUUGUUUGUUUGUUUGUUUGUUUUGAGACGGAGUCUCGUUCUGUUGCCCAGGCUGGAGUGCAAUGGUACGAUCUCACCUCAUUGCAACCUCUACCUCUCAGGUUCAGGCGAUUCUCCCACCUCAGCCUCCUGAGUAGCUGGGAUUACAGGUGCAUACCACCAUGCCUGGCUAAUUUUUGUGUUUUUAGUAGAGAUGGGGUUUCACCAUGUUGGCCAGGCUGGUCUCGAACUCCUUGCCUCAAGUGAUCCACCCACCUCAGCCUCCAAAGUGCUGGGAUUACACAAGUAACUUCUUUACUGUGAUCGUGUCCCUUGAUACUCUAGACUUGUGCUGUCCAAUACUGUAGCUAUGAGCCACAUGUGGCCAUUGAGUGCUUGAAUCCUAGCUGGUCAGAAAUGAGAUGUGCUGUGAGUGUAAAAUACACACAAGUUUCGUUCUUCUCCUUUUCCUUCGUUGUCUUCUUCUUCUUUUCUUUUCCUUU